CCUACGGGCGGCUGCAGUGGGGGAUAUUGCACAAUGGGGGGAACCCUGAUGCAGCGACGCCGCGUGGGUGAAGAAGCGCCUCGGCGCGUAAAGCCCUGUCAGCAGGGAAGAAAAUGACGGUACCUGAAGAAGAAGCCCCGGCUAACUACGUGCCAGCAGCCGCGGGAAUACGUAGGGGGCAAGCGUUAUCCGGAUUUACUGGGUGUAAAGGGGGCGCAGACGGCGAUGCAAGCCAGGAGUGAAAGCCCGGGGCCCAACCCCGGGACUGCUCUUGGAACUGCGUGGCUGGAGUGCAGGAGGGGCAGGCGGAAUUCCUGGUGUAGCGGUGAAAUGCGUAGAUAUCAGGAGGAACACCGGUGGCGAAGGCGGCCUGCUGGACUGCAACUGACGUUGAGGCCCGAAAGCGUGGGGAGCAAACAGGAUUAGAUACCCGAGUAGUC
rnacentral:rRNA from 1 species